rnacentral:rRNA from 1 species
AUUGAACGCUGGCGGCAGGCCUAACACAUGCAAGUCGAGCGGAUGAAGGGAGCUUGCUCCUGGAUUCAGCGGCGGACGGGUGAGUAAUGCCUAGGAAUCUGCCUGGUAGUGGGGGAUAACGUCCGGAAACGGGCGCUAAUACCGCAUACGUCCUGAGGGAGAAAGUGGGGGAUCUUCGGACCUCACGCUAUCAGAUGAGCCUAGGUCGGAUUAGCUAGUUGGUGGGGUAAAGUCCUACCAAGGCGACGAUCCGUAACUGGUCUGAGAGGAUGAUCAGUCACACUGGAACUGAGACACGGUCCAGACUCCUACGGGAGGCAGCAGUGGGGAAUAUUGGACAAUGGGCGAAAGCCUGAUCCAGCCAUGCCGCGUGUGUGAAGAAGGUCUUCGGAUUGUAAAGCACUUUAAGUUGGGAGGAAGGGCAGUAAGUUAAUACCUUGCUGUGUUGACGUUACCAACAGAAUAAGCACCGGCUAACUUCGUG